rnacentral:lncRNA from 1 species
UCUUCCCACAGUUUCCUAGUGGCUCAACAGAGGACGGAUCAUUCAACAGAGUAAGUGGGUUCUCAAUCUCCUCUCCAUUCUCACCCACAGCAUCAAGAUCCUUCACCCAGUCAGGCUUGCCCUCUGCCUCCUUCCACAGCAUUCUCGAGUUCAACACAAAGCCAGCCCACUCUAAACCCCUGGGCAGAACAGGGGCUGCCUCGCCAACCACUGUGGCAGUCUUCCCAGAAAACGGCAACGAGUUGAAUGUGUGCCAUCCAGCGAGAUGCCCAGAGGAGUUACAAGCUGGGCCCUGGACUGGAAGAGGCAUAUUCUGCUUGUCCUCCUCGCUGAGGCGUGGUUGUUCUGCCGCUCCAGUGUGUGCAAGGAUUCCAACGGACACGGCGCCCAUCCACUGGACCUUCUGCACCUCAUCGAACAGCUCCAUGCUAUGGACAUUGCUGUCAUCCGCAAAUACAACUACGCCAUCCAUCUUCCUCUCCCGAAUCACCCUACACAAGCAAACCAGCACUUCAUUUGCCACUUCUCUCUAUUAAUAAGACAGGCCAGCGAAACAAAACUACUAGUACUACUAGCUAUGUAUGAGGAAGUAGGAAACCAGACAUACCGUAGGGCAUGGAGGCGCAUCCGGUUCUCAGUGGCAUGGCGGUCCGCCCAGUCAUGGGGCAUGCGGUCAGGGAAGGGGAUGUGGACGAAGGUGAGGCCGGAGCGCGCAAGUAGGGACGCCGUGGCGUUGGUGGUGCCGCCUGCCUCGACGACGAUCCAGGUGAGCGGGUAUGGCACGUUGCGGAGGGAGUGGAGGAGGCCGGUGAGGUGGAGCGCCUGGAACGCGCGGGAGUAGGUCGGGGUGACGACGAGCACCUGCCUGGGCUCCUUGACGCCGUACCAGCGGCGCUGCUCCUCCUGCACGCGCUCCAUGAUCCGGUGCGCCCGCAUCACCUCGACGGGGUCGGGGUGCGGCC